AAGUGUCAUGUCAUCAUGCCUUGUCACAAACAUCUCAUUGUCUCAUCAUCACCUUCAAUGACAUGGCAAUGACAUGUAUGUGACAAGACAUGAUGACGUGACACUUCAU
rfam:Glycine soja cultivar W05 scaffold11308_1, whole genome shotgun sequence.